CCUAGAGUGGUGUAGUGGAAACAUGCCUAGCUAACAGUUAAGUUUCUCCUUGUUGAGGCUGUAUGGGGACAGGAAUCUCAGGUUUGAUCCCUGACUUCGGGA
rnacentral:tRNA from 1 species